UACAGGGGGUGCAAACGUUGCUCGGAAUCAUUGGGCGUAAAGCGCACGUAGGCGGUUCGUUAUGUCGGAUGUGAAAGCCCUUGGCUUAACCGAGGAAGUGCAUCCGAAACUGGCGAGCUAGAGUACUAAAGAGGAUCGCGGAAUUCCCGGUGUAGAGGUGAAAUUCGUAGAUAUUGGGAAGAACACCGGUGGCGAAGGCGGCUCACUGGCUCGUAACUGACGCUCAUGCACGACAGCGUGGGGAUCAAACAGG
rnacentral:rRNA from 1 species